AUACGGAGGGGGUUAGCGUUGUUCGGAAUUACUGGGCGUAAAGCGCACGUAGGCGGACUGGAAAGUUGGGGGUGAAAUCCCGGGGCUCAACCCCGGAACUGCCUCCAAAACUACCAAUCUAGAGAUCGAGAGAGGUGAGUGGAAUUCCAAGUGUAGAGGUGAAAUUCGUAGAUAUUUGGAGGAACACCAGUGGCGAAGGCGGCUCACUGGCUCGAUACUGACGCUGAGGUGCGAAAGCGUGGGGAGCAAACAGGAUUAGAAACCCCGGUAGUCC
rnacentral:rRNA from 1 species